ACUAAGAUGUAUCAGGACCUACGCCAGAGGUUCUGGUGGACUAGGAUGAAGAGAGAAAUUGCUCAGUAUAUUGCCAAUUGCGACGUCUGCCGUCGUGUAAAAGCAGAGCAUCAACGGCCUGCUGGCACCCUUCAACCCUUAGCUAUUCCUGAAUGGAAAUGGGAUAAAAUUGGUAUGGAUUUCAUUACCGGUUUUCCCAGAACCAAAAGAGGGAAUAAUGCUAUUUUCGUCGUGGUCGAUCGUCUUUCCAAAGUAGCUCAUUUCUUACCUGUUCGUGAGAGUAUAACCGCUAGCCAACUGGCAGAUUUAUACAUCUCCCGAAUAGUGUCCCUCCAUGGUGUUCCUUUGGAAAUCAAUUCGGAUCGAGGAAGUCUUUUCACCUCU
rnacentral:rRNA from 1 species